rnacentral:rRNA from 1 species
GGUGUUAGUUCAUCUAGACAGCAGGACGGUGGCCAUGGAAGUCGGAAUCCGCUAAGGAGUGUGUAACAACUCACCUGCCGAAUGAACUAGCCCUGAAAAUGGAUGGCGCUUAAGCGUACUACCCAUACUUCACCGCCAGGGUAGAAACGAAGCCCUGGCGAGUAGGCAGGCGUGGGGGUCAGUGACGAAGCCUUGGGAGUGAUCCCGGGUAGAACGGCCCCUAGGGCAGAUCUUGGUGGUAGUAGCAAAUACUCAAAUGAGAACUUUGAGGACUGCAGUGGGGAAAGGUUCCAUGUGAACAGCAGUUGGACAUGGGUUAGUCGAUCCUAAGAGAUAGGGAAACUCCGUUUUAAAGUGCGCACUUGUGCGCCGUCCCUCGAAAGGGAAGCCGGUUAAUAUUCCGGCACCUGGAUUCAGAUUCUCCACGGCAACGUAACUGAACGCGGAGACGACGGCGGG